UGGAUUAGUGGCGAACGGGUGAGUAACACGUGGGCAAUCUGCCCUUCACUCUGGGACAAGCCCUGGAAACGGGGUCUAAUACCGGAUAACACUCUGUUCCGCAUGGGACGGGGUUGAAAGCUCCGGCGGUGAAGGAUGAGCCCGCGGCCUAUCAGCUUGUUGGUGGGGUAAUGGCCUACCAAGGCGACGACGGGUAGCCGGCCUGAGAGGGCGACCGGCCACACUGGGACUGAGACACGGCCCAGACUCCUACGGGAGGCAGCAGUGGGGAAUAUUGCACAAUGGGCGAAAGCCUGAUGCAGCGACGCCGCGUGAGGGAUGACGGCCUUCGGGUUGUAAACCUCUUUCAGCAGGGAAGAAGCGCAAGUGACGGUACCUGCAGAAGAAGCGCCGGCUAACUACGUGCCAGCAGCCGCGGUAAUACGUAGGGCGCAAGCGUUGUCCGGAAUUAUUGGGCGUAAAGAGCUCGUAGGCGGCUUGUCACGUCGGAUGUGAAAGCCCGGGGCUUAACCCCGGGUCUGCAUUCGAUACGGGCUAGCUAGAGUGUGGUAGGGGAGAUCGGAAUUCCUGGUGUAGCGGUGAAAUGCGCAGAUAUCAGGAGGAACACCGGUGGCGAAGGCGGAUCUCUGGGCCAUUACUGACGCUGAGGAGCGAAAGCGUGGGGAGCGAACAGGAUUAGAUACCCUGGUAGUCCACGCCGUAAACGUUGGGAACUAGGUGUUGGCGACAUUCCACGUCGUCGGUGCCGCAGCUAACGCAUUAAGUUCCCCGCCUGGGGAGUACGGCCGCAAGGCUAAAACUCAAAGGAAUUGACGGGGGC
rnacentral:rRNA from 1 species